ensembl:snRNA U6 U6 spliceosomal RNA
GUGCCCACUUUGGCACCAUGUAUAUUAAAACUAGAACUGUACAGGAAAGAUUAGCAUGACCUCUGUGCAAAGAUGACACAGAUUUAUGAAGAAUGCCUCUAUUUUGUU